rnacentral:tRNA from 1 species
GGGGAUAUAGCUCAGAGUUAGAGAGCUUGCUUAUCAUGCAUGAAGUUCUGGGUUCAAUCUCCAGUACCACCA